rnacentral:rRNA from 1 species
GACAGAGGUGCCAAGCGUUAGGCGGAAUCACUGGGCUUAAAGCGUGUGUAGGCGGAUUUGUAAGUACCUUGUGAAAUCCCACGGCUCAACCGUGGAACUGCUCGGUAUACUGCUUAUCUUGAGCCACUUAGGGGCUACCGGAACAAAUGGUGGAGCGGCGAAAUGCGUAGAUAUCAUUUGGAACGCCAAUGGUGAAAACAGGUAGCUGGGAGUGUGCUGACGCUGAGACACGAAAGCCAGGGGAGCGAACGGG